CUGGCGCGGGGGUCACUGCCCCCAAGGAGGGACCUAGAGGGGGUGGAGGAGAGGCCGGAGGAGCAAAUGCGACAAGCUGGGAAAAUGCCCUCCCCGCUUUGGUUCUAGAAUCCCUACUCUCCUGGCAACGGGGCUGCUGAACCUCCGCAGACGCCAAGGGGGAUGGCAUCCACUGCUACCAGGAAUGUGGAGAAAAAGGGCAGCGGGCAAUCCCAAGCUACAACCUCUGCAGGCUCCUUGGGUGGAGGUCCGGGAGCUCUGCGUAGCAGCUUGACAUCUGGAGGGUGAUCCCAACUCUGGUGCUGCUCUUGGCCUCUCGUGCCCUCCCCCCGCUCUGUUCCUCUAGAACAUGCAUCAAAGCUCUUCUUUCACAACUCAUUCAACAGUUCGGUUUUGGGGCGAUUCCUGGUCAUGAGCAACAUCACCCCUGAAGCCUCCAAAGGGUUCUGGAACCAUCACACACCUCCACCCUCAGCUAGCAAGGACGCCACCAGAAAUCAAAAACUUUAAUAAAGUGACAGAGAUCCUUCCCUCCUCCCAGGCUGGGCAGUGCUCUCUGUGGGGUGAUGUGGGAGGCGUGCCCCUCCUCCUUUUUGCCAGAUAUGUGGGCGUAUUAUUUUAUUUAUUUCCUAUUCCUUUUUUUUUUUAAAUCAUCUUUACUGGAGUAUAAUUGUUUUACAAUGUUCCUAUUCCUUUUUUUUUUUUUUUUAAACAUCUAUUGGAGUAUAAUUGCUUUACAAUGGUGUGUUAGUUUCUUGGGCAUAUUAUUGGAAUGGCUGUUUUUUCUUUUUGAGUGAUUUUUCUUUUUUAAUUUUUUUUUUUUUUUCGCAGCACCAUGUGGCAUGUGGGAUCUUACUUCCCAGACCAAGGAUCAAACCGGCACCCCCCUGCAGUGGAAACGCAGAGUCUUAACC